AAUCUUUUUUUUUUUUUUUUUAAAAGAGGAUUCCCUGAAGGAAAGAGUGCAGGAGAGACAGCCUAGCUGACUUGAAGGUGAAAAUGAAGUUUUCUGGCAGAGUGAGGGCGGCUAAACAAGAAAGCCAAAAGGAUGAAGGGAGGGCUUUGGCCAGAGGAGGGUUGUCUAACCCAGAGGUCAAUCGAAGAGAGACGUUGUAGAGCACUUUUAGCUGUGAUGUGAAGACCCCACAACAACUCCUAUUCUCUCUAAUAGAACUGCAGCCAGUCACUAGCAUACAGGGUGCUUAGAAGGUAGCCUAGAUCAGAAGUCUUAGUGCCACCCAUAGGGGAAGCAGGGUUGGGAGAGGGCAAGGAACUUGCCUGCCAUCAGGAAUCAGUCACUAAGCCUGGAGCGGAGCCUGCACUGCAGCCCAGGGCGACGAUGCUAUGCUUUUGUGUAGGAAAUUCUUGCUGGGCCAGCAUUUGAGAAAAUGGGAGGUUUCAAAUAUUUGGCAAGAUUAAGCUAAAAGGGGAGGGGCUCCUCUUUCCUAGUUAUGUUUUUAUUCAAAGCAGCCAAGCAUUUCUCAUUUCUGCUGGUUAACAUUAGCACUGUUACUCAGAUUGUAUGUGUAUGGGAGUCACCUGGGGAUCUCGUUAAAAUGCACGUUCUGAUUCUGUAAGUCUAGGGUGGGCCCAUGAUUCCGCAUUUAUAACAAGCUCCCAGACCGCUCUGGGAGUGCUGUAACCAGAGCCCAGGCUCCCCAUUUAGCUUCCUCUACUGCUCUGAGAGUUUGCUAUACUACCUUCUUCCUCUCAGUGCCAUGCACUUGCUUGGCUCACCUGAGGCAGGGCUUUCACAGUCCCUGUGAACUCAUCCUGGAGAGAAUGCAGCCGGGCAGCCCUCCCCAGCCCUCUUCCCUUUCUACACGGAGUUGCCCAGAGUUUACUGGAGAAAUCUCAUUUUGCUGGAAGUUCCACGGAGGAUCCAGGGAUCCCACUGCUGGAGCGUGACUUGGAGAUUCCCGCCAUUGCUGCCCAGUAAUGACACUAAAGGAGAAGUUACGUUGUCACAGAAACAUAGGGAUGAAUAUCCUGUAAGUACACAACAGACUGUGUGAUUCUGGAUGGUUUGGGGAAGAUUGGGCCUGA
rnacentral:lncRNA from 1 species